GCAGUCGAGGGGUAUAGGCUUUCGGACCUAGAGACCGGCGCACGGGUGCGUAACGCGUAUGCAAUCUGCCUUUUACAGAGGGAUAGCCCAGAGAAAUUUGGAUUAAUACCUCAUAGUAUUAUUGAAUGGCAUCAUUUAAUAAUUAAAGUCACAACGGUAAAAGAUGAGCAUGCGUCCCAUUAGCUUGUUGGUAAGGUAACGGCUUACCAAGGCAACGAUGGGUAGGGGUCCUGAGAGGGAGAUCCCCCACACUGGUACUGAGACACGGACCAGACUCCUACGGGAGGCAGCAGUGAGGAAUAUUGGUCAAUGGGCGCAAGCCUGAACCAGCCAUGCCGCGUGCAGGAUGACGGUCCUAUGGAUUGUAAACUGCUUUUGUACAGGAAGAAACAGUUCUACGUGUAGAGCCUUGACGGUACUGUAAGAAUAAGGAUCGGCUAACUCCGUGCCAGCAGCCGCGGUAAUACGGAGGAUCCAAGCGUUAUCCGGAAUCAUUGGGUUUAAAGGGUCCGUAGGCGGUUUUGUAAGUCAGUGGUGAAAGCCCAUCGCUCAACGGUGGAACGGCCAUUGAUACUGCAAGACUUGAAUUAUUGGGAAGCAACUAGAAUAUGUAGUGUAGCGGUGAAAUGCUUAGAGAUUACAUGGAAUACCAAUUGCGAAGGCAGGUUGCUACCAAUAUAUUGACGCUGAUGGACGAAAGCGUGNGGAGCGAACAGGAUUAGAUACCCUGGUAGUCCACGCCGUAAACGAUGGAUACUAGCUGUUCGGAGCAAUCUGAGUGGCUAAGCGAAAGUGAUAAGUAUCCCACCUGGGGAGUACGUUCGCAAGAAUGAAACUCAAGGAAUUGACGGGGGCCCGCACAAGCGGUGGAGCAUGUGGUUUAAUUCGAUGAUACGCGAGGAACCU
rnacentral:rRNA from 1 species